AACGAACGCUGGCGGCAUGCCUAACACAUGCAAGUCGAACGAAGCCUUCGGGCUUAGUGGCGCACGGGUGCGUAACGCGUGGGAAUCUGCCCUUGGGUUCGGAAUAACAGUUAGAAAUGACUGCUAAGACCGGAUGAUGUCUUCGGACCAAAGAUUUAUCGCCCAAGGAUGAGCCCGCGUAGGAUUAGGUAGUUGGUGGGGUAAUGGCCCACCAAGCCGACGAUCCUUAGCUGGUCUGAGAGGACGAUCAGCCACACUGGGACUGAGACACGGCUCAGACUCCUACGGGAGGCAGCAGUGGGGAAUAUUGGACAAUGGGCGAAAGCCUGAUCCAGCAAUGCCGCGUGAGUGAUGAAGGCCUUAGGGUUGUAAAGCUCUUUUACCAGGGAUGAUAAUGACAGUACCUGGAGAAUAAGCUCCGGCUAACUCCGUGCCAGCAGCCGCCGUAA
rnacentral:rRNA from 1 species